rnacentral:rRNA from 1 species
UGCAGUCGAGCGGCAGCGACAACAUUGACCCUUCGGGUGAUUUGUUGGGCGGCGAGCGGCGGACGGGUGAGUAAUGGCUGGGAACCUGCCCUGACGUGGGGGAUAACAGUUGGAAACGACUGCUAAUACCGCAUGAUGUCUUCGGACCAAAGAGGAGGACCUUCGGGCUUCUCGCGCCGGGAUGGGCCCAGUUGGGAUUAGCUAGUUGGUGAGGUAAUGGCUCACCAAGGCGACGAUCCCUAGCUGGUUUGAGAGGAUGAUCAGCCACACUGGAACUGAGACACGGUCCAGACUCCUACGGGAGGCAGCAGUGGGGAAUAUUGCACAAUGGGCGCAAGCCUGAUGCAGCCAUGCCGCGUGUGUGAAGAAGGCCUUCGGGUUGUAAAGCACUUUCAGCAGUGAGGAAGGCGUAGUGGUUAAUACCCGCUGCGCUUGACGUUAGCUGCAGAAGAAGCACCGGCUAACUCCGUGCCAGCAGCCGCGGUAAUACGGAGGGUGCGAGCGUUAAUCGGAAUUACUGGGCGUAAAGCGCAUGCAGGCGGUUUGUUAAGCAAGAUGUGAAAGCCCCGGGCUCAACCUGGGAACCGCAUUUUGAACUGGCAGGCUAGAGUCUUGUAGAGGGGGGUAGAAUUUCAGGUGUAGCGGUGAAAUGCGUAGAGAUCUGAA